GAAUAUUCUUUUUUCAAUAUUCUUCUAGUAAACCCCCCCCCCUGCAGAGUAGAUUAGCAUAGCCACUGUGCAAUGAUGACUUACAAAUUUGCAAAGUGGUUUUUUUUUUU